rnacentral:rRNA from 1 species
AACGAACGCUGGCGGCAUGCCUAACACAUGCAAGUCGAACGAGACCUUCGGGUCUAGUGGCGCACGGGUGCGUAACGCGUGGGAACCUGCCCUUAGGUUCGGAAUAACUCCCCGAAAGGGGUGCUAAUACCGGAUAAUGUCUUCGGACCAAAGAUUUAUCGCCUUUGGAUGGGCCCGCGUUGGAUUAGCUAGUUGGUAGGGUAAAAGCCUACCAAGGCGACGAUCCAGAGCUGGUCUGAGAGGAUGAUCAGCCACACUGGGACUGAGACACGGCCCAGACGGCAGCGGGAGGCAGCAGAGGGGACUAAUGGGCAGUGAGCGUAAGCCAGAUCCAGCAAUGCCGCGUUAGUGAUGAAGGCCUUAGAGUUGUAAAGCUCUUGUACCCGGGAUGAUAAUGACAUAACCGGUAGAAUAGGCUCCGGCUAACUCCGU